UACAGAGGGGGCAAGCGUUAUUCGGAAUUAUUGGGCGUAAAGGGCGCGUAGACGGCCAGGCAAGUGGAAGGUGAAAUCCCUCGGCUUAACCGAGGAACUGCCCUCCAAACUGCUUGGCUUGAGACCGGGAGAGGUGAGUGGAAUUCCCAGUGUAGCGGUGAAAUGCGUAGAUAUUGGGAGGAACACCAGUGGCGAAGGCGGCUCACUGGACCGGUACUGACGCUGAGGUGCGAAAGCGUGGGGAGCAAACAGG
rnacentral:rRNA from 1 species